ACGGAAGGCAGCAGUGGGGAAUAUUGCACAAUGGGGGAAACCCUGAUGCAGCGACGCCGCGUGAGCGAAGAAGUAUUUCGGUAUGUAAAGCUCUAUCAGCAGGGAAGAAAAUGACGGUACCUGACUAAGAAGCCCCGGCUAACUACGUGCCAGCAGCCGCGGUAAUACGUAGGGGGCAAGCGUUAUCCGGAUUUACUGGGUGUAAAGGGAGCGUAGACGGCAAGGUAAGUCUGAAGUGAAAUGCCGGGGCUCAACCCCGGAACUGCUUUGGAAACUAUCUCGCUCGAGUACCGGUGGGGUAAGCGGAAUUCCUAGUGUAGCGGUGAAAUGCGUAGAUAUUAGGAGGAACACCAGUGGCGAAGGCGGCUUACUGGACGGUAACUGACGUUGAGGCUCGAAAGCGUGGGGAGCAAACAGGAUUAGAUACCCUGGUA
rnacentral:rRNA from 1 species